UUCCAAAUAAUCAGAAUUUUCAAUUAUCAAUUUAAAAAAGCUUUCUUGACCGACCGAGUAAAGAAUGUGUUGCACAGCGCGCACUCUUCAAGCAUGUCACUCUUCUUCUCCUUCUUCUUCUUCUAUUGUGCUGCCAUAUCGUCCCAUUUCCACAAUAUAACUGUGUUAUUCAUAUUACGAGUAUGAUCUACAUUUCGAUGAAAGUCAUUAUAAGAAACAUUUUACUUGCAAAUUAAACUUAUAAUUUCAACAAAAAAGGUGUGUAGAUUUCAUUGAAAUCUGUUGGGCGGUUGGCGAGCUACAGUGAACACCAGUUCAAAAUAUAAUUUUAAGAAAAAUGUAUGUGAAGUUUUAAACGUAGUAUGUUCCAAAGCGACUCCAAACCCUUUGCAAAUUAUCGAAUAACUCGAAAACUAUUUGUUGGACUUACUUCAAAUGUCAAAGAAUGUUUCGGACAUUUCGAAAAUUCUGAGUUCACCUAAUUCCAAACAGAAUUUCUAUGUAACAGUUUCAUUGCUAUGCGCUGUAAUGCUUUGUACCGCUAAUCAGACCAUAACUCAUUUCUGCGUUCUUGAACUUAUUAGAGAUAAUUUAAAUGCAUUUUUGACAUUAGUAAUUAAAUGCCAGCAAUUGACACAAAAGUUAAUCAACCUGCUUUGAUUUUAUUUUAGUAAAAUGGUAAACUCCAUAAAUCCAGCUCUCGAAGAAUCUUAUUUUAUUCAAAUUUUAUAGAAAACUAAUAUUAUUAUAAUUAAUGUAAUGCGAAGGCAAAUUUUAUGCUAACUCUUAAACGCCUGGCGGUUCCUCCAGGUAGCUGAUGGUUCCUCAAGGGACCAUUUCAGUUUUAUUUCAUUAAAUUUUUAUUAAAUUAAAUUAUUAUUACUUUCACAAUAGUCAAUUGAAAAUACAAAAUUUUCCUUGAAAUUUUCCUUGAAAUUAUUUUUUCGAUGCACUCUUGCUCAAGUAAAAACGUAAAUGACUGCAAAGUGAUGUAAUAUUUAAUAACGCAUGUUUAUGCAUGAAAAUUUUACAAAAACGUAGUAAAAUAUAAAUAUUUUCCGACGUCUUAAACUUUAUAAAUUAAACUGCAGGGUUUACACAUUAAUAUUGUUAUACAAGCAGAAAUGUAGUUAUUUACGGAUAAUACUAAGAAAUUUGUACAUCAAUGUCGACUAAGCUGCGUGAGCGGCUUCAAUUUAAAGCAAAAAAUAAAAACAAUCAGAAAACUAACAUUAAUAUAUUAAGUUAGAUUAGUUAAAGAAAAUAAAUAAAUUGUAAAGCUUUCAGCUGAUAAAUUUGAAUACAAAAUGUAUAUAAAAAGGACAGCCAUGCAUGUACAUACGUAUACAUAGUAUGUAUAUUAGAGUGAUUCAAAAAACAAUUUUUUUUUUCGUUUGGUACUCGGAAAAAUGGGUUCCUAGACACCUCUAAGAAAGCCGCUCCAAAUAUGAGUUUUUAAUUGUAACGGAGAGGCUUUCUUAGAGGUAUCUAAGAACCAAUUUUUUUUUUUGAAUCACUCUAAUGUAUAUAUAGAUAUAUAUUAGGGUGUCUGUUAUUUCCCCAACGUUCAGUUUUUGCCCUCAUUAUUUUCAAUUUAAACCGAGCCUGAAUCAUAUUACUUUGUCCAUGUAUGUAACAUAGUAUAUUUUUUGACAUUUUGCAUUGAACAAGCAAAGCUGAAAAAGUAAUGCUCUAAUACCAAAAAGGUUUUAAUGAUUUUAUAUAUAAUAAAAAAAACAUUCUUUUAAAAGUUAAACGCACUAAAUAUUAUGCAUUAAAUGACCUAAGCAAUCACACAAGUGAUUUCUACAUUAUGCGUUGCUUAUCCGACGUGGUGUACCAAGUGUAUGAUGCUUUUAAAGUUUGUUUGAUUUGGAGAUAAAAUUAUUAAAAAAUAAUAAAAAUGCAUAGGAAAAGUAAGAAGGCGUUUGCAAAAAAAAAACCAGAGUGCUUAGAAAAAAACAUAAACUUGGUAAAUAACAGGUAUCCUAAUAUAUACAUAUACGUAUAUAUAUCUUUGAAUUAAUAUAUAAGAAAAAAUUGCUAAGGCGAAUGUAUAGAAAAUUUCAUUUAAAGCUAAUCGGUUACAGUAAAAAAAAUUGUUUAAAAUUUAUUACAGAAAAUCUUAAAACAUUUCAUUAAAAAUUUCAAUAUAUGAAAAUGAACUCUGUAUAUCAAAGAAAAUAACUGCACACCAGACUUUCUAAAGGCUUUGACUUUCAAUGCUUUACUCAGCUAACAAAAUUUAAAACUAUUUGAAAUCAAAGCUCUUAAAGUUAUUGUUCUUAAAGACUUAGCAUCUAAAAGUUUAACAAUACAGUACCUACUGAUUUCCAUAACUAGACCUAAGUUAUUUUUCCAAACAACCACACAAAUGUAUAAAAUAAUUGACGAACAUUGAGCGGGAAGCUUUCAAAAAAUCAAAUGAAUUGCUUUCGGUCCGAUGAGUAACUAAACGGAUAUAUCUUUAUUUAACUUUCUUUUAUGUAUUAUUCUCUUAUUUUCUUAAAGUGUCAAUUACAUUUCUAGCUUAUUAAACAUAGUAUUUCCGAAGAAGAAGUUGAAUGUUUUUGUAAUAACUUAUAAAUAUUUUGUAUUUUGUAUAUUUAAUAUAUAAUAUUAUUAGAUUAUAUUUUUGUGCAAUUUUAAAUACUGAAACAACAAUAAAAACUGAUAUAUUAAUUA